UACGGAGGAUGCAAGCGUUAUCCGGAAUGAUUGGGCGUAAAGCGUCCGCAGGUGGCUGUGUAAGUCUGCUGUCAAAGAGCGAAGCUCAACUUCGUAAAGGCAGUGGAAACUACACGGCUAGAGUGCGUUCGGGGCAGAGGGAAUUCCUGGUGUAGCGGUGAAAUGCGUAGAGAUCAGGAAGAACACCGGUGGCGAAGGCGCUCUGCUAGGCCUCAACUGACACUGAGGGACGAAAGCUAGGGGAGCGAAUGGG
rnacentral:rRNA from 1 species